GGGUUGUGAGGUUAAGCGACUAAGCGUACACGGUGGAUGCCCUGGCAGUCAGAGGCGAUGAAGGACGUGCUAAUCUGCGAUAAGCGUCGGUGAGGUGAUAUGAACCGUUAUAACCGGCGAUUUCCGAAUGGGGAAACCCAGUGUGUUUCGACACACUAUCAUUAACUGAAUCCAUAGGUUAAUGAGGCGAACCGGGGGAACUGAAACAUCUAAGUACCCCGAGGAAAAGAAAUCAACCGAGAUUCCCCCAGUAGCGGCGAGCGAACGGGGAGGAGCCCAGAGCCUGAAUCAGUGUGUGUGUUAGUGGAAGCGUCUGGAAAGGCGUGCGAUACAGGGUGACAGCCCCGUACACAAAAAUGCACAUAUUGUGAGCUCGAUGAGUAGGGCGGGACACGUGGUAUCCUGUCUGAAUAUGGGGGGACCAUCCUCCAAGGCUAAAUACUCCUGACUGACCGAUAGUGAACCAGUACCGUGAGGGAAAGGCGAAAAGAACCCCGGCGAGGGGAGUGAAAAAGAACCUGAAACCGUGUACGUACAAGCAGUGGGAGCCUCUU
rnacentral:rRNA from 1 species